AUGAGGAGUCUGUCCACCCUGUCACAGCACUCCCAGCAUGAGCCCUUUCCUCAGCAGUGCAGCAUCUCCCCAGGACACAUCCCCACUGCCUGUCCUUACCCCACACAUCCACCAGCCCAGCGGGAGCCACCCCACUUUCCAGUCUCCUCCUCUUUUCUCCCCCAGCACCAUGGGAGGAGCUCUCAGUCACCAGAGCUGCUCUCUGCCAUGGCAAGAGCAGGAUCUGAGCAGCAAAAUGUAGGAGCAGAUAUUUAUGGAUGUAUCUCCUUUAACCAUCAGAGCACCUGUGGCCAUGUCUCACCAGUGCUGGAAACAAGGAUCGAGCUGCCACAUUCCCAUGGAACAACAGUGAUUCAACCCAGCACUGGUGCUCCCUGGGAGAUGGUGACCAAAGCAGGAACAUGUGGGAGGACCCAAAAGGAGCCAAAAGUAGGAAAGCCAAGAAAAGUAAAAUUAUUUGCCCAGGAUCACUCAUCAGAAGGCUCUGCACAUUCAGGAGGGUUCAAAAGGAGCAGAGAAGGGCACCUGAAUGAGCUGGUGAGUGGAGGACACAUGGUAUAA
ensembl:lncRNA